rnacentral:rRNA from 1 species
UGCCUAAUGCAUGCAAGUCGCACGCAGCACCUUCGGGUGUUGAGUGGCGCACGGCUGAGGAACACGUGGGAAUCUGCCCGACCGUGGGGGAUAACACGCCGAAAGGCGUGCUAAUCCCGCAUACGCGCGCAAGCGGAAAGCAGCAAUGCGCGGUCGGAGGAGCCUGCGGCCCAUCAGGUAGUUGGCGGGGUAACGGCCCACCAAGCCGGUGACGGGUAGCUGGUCUGUGAGGACAGACAGCCAGACUGGGACUGAGACACGGCCCAGACUCCUACGGGAGGCAGCAGCAAGGAAUUUUCGGCAAUGGGCGCAAGCCUGACCGAGCAACGCCGCGUGGAGGAUGACGGCCUUCGGGUUGUAAACUCCUUUUGCGGGGGAUGACAUCGACCGUACCCCGCGAAUAAGGCUCGGCUAACUCUGUGCCAGCAGCCGCGGUAAGACAGAGGAGCCAAGCGUUGUCCGGAUUGACUGGGCGUAAAGCGCACGCAGGCGGUCGCGCGCGUGGGGUGUGAAACCUGGCGGCUUAACUGCCAGACGCCAUCCCAUACGGCGCGACUCGAGCCCGUGAGGGGUCCAUGGAAUUGCCGGUGUAGUGGUGAAAUGCGUAGAGAUCGGCAGGAACACCCAGGGGGAAACCAGUGGACUGGCACGGUGCUGACGCUCAGGUGCGAAAGCGUGGGGAGCGAACCGGAUUAGAUACCCGGGUAGUCCACGCCGUAAACGAUGAAUACUCGGCAUCUGGCGGGCGAUCUUCGUCCGCCGGGUGCCCCAGCUAACGCGGUAAGUAUUCCGCCUGGGAACUACGAGCGCAAGCUAAAACUCAAAGAAUUAGGAAUUACUCAAAGGAAU